rnacentral:rRNA from 1 species
CCUACGGGAGGCAGCAGUGAGGAAUAUUGGUCAAUGGGCGAGAGCCUGAACCAGCCAAGUCGCGUGAGGGAGUACUGCCCUAUGGGUUGUAAACCUCUUUUGUCGGGGAGCAAAAGCCGGACGUGUCCGGCUGUGAGAGUACCCGAAGAAAAAGCAUCAGCUAACUCCGUGCCAGCAGCCGCGGUAAUACGGAGGAAGCGAGCGUUAUCCGUAUUUAUUGGGUUUAAAGGGGGCGCAGGCGGAUUUUUAAGUCAGCGGUAAAAUCGUGGGGCUCAACCCCAUCCAGCCGUUGAAACUGGGGAUCUAGAGUGUGCGAGAGGUAUGCGGAAUGCGUGGUGUAGCGGUGAAAUGCAUAGAUAUCACGCAGAACCCCGAUUGCGAAGGCAGCAUACCGGUGCACAACUGACGCUCAGGCACGAAAGCGUGGGUAUCGAACAGGAUUAGAUACCCCAGUAGUC